rnacentral:misc_RNA from 1 species
AAGGAGCAUCAACUGGCCGUGUCCUGGUUCGUCCAGGUGCGGUCGGUGGCCGCUGUUGGCAGCGAAUGUCUGUCAGGUGGCUGCUCAUAGAUGUGGAGCACUGGUUAUUCAUUGCCGCUGUGAUGCGGCCCGGUUGGUACCGCCCUUCGGGGAGUGGGAAGUCUGGGUUCGGGUCAUGGUGGUGGUGGACACGCUGUUGGGUCCUGAGGGAACGGACUCUUCGGCCCCUGAAGUACACGGUGUUCGCAUCGUGUGGCGAGGGGGCUGGGUUGUUUCUUCUGGGUUGCGGGGCUGAGUGCGGUGCGCCUGUGUGGUGUGGCCGGCUUGGUGGUCCCGGUUGUUUUUUGAGAACUGCACAGUGGACGCGAGCAUCUCUGACGAGACUUCGGAUCUUCGGGUCGGGGUUUUGUCUCUUGUUGCGAAUUUGAUGAAUCGUUUUGU